GCUCUUCCGAUCUGGCGUAUGGGGAAUGCCUAGGCACACUCCGGCGAAGAAGGACGCAGCAAACAGCGAAAUGCGACGGUGAGCGGUAAGCACGUGAAGAGCCGUCGAUAUCCGAAUGGGGGAACCCACACGGAGUCAUAUCCGUGUAUCACAUGUCGAAUACAUAGACAUGAUGAGGCGAGACGCAGGGAACUGAAACAUCUAAGUACCUGCAGGAAGAGAAAAUAAGAAUGAUUUUCUGAGUAGCGGCGAGCGAAAGGGAAAGAGCCCAAACCGAUCUGAGGAUCGGGGUAGUAGGAUCAUCGAUAAAUCAAACAGAGGAUCAUAGAGGAAUCACAUGGGAAGGUGAGCGAGAGAGGGUGAGAGCCCCGUACUCGAAAUGAGAGACUGGAGAGAGAUGACACCUGAGUAGGGCGGGACACGAGAAAUCCUGUCUGAAUCAGCCGGGACCAUCCGGCAAGGCUAAAUACGAGAGAGUGACCGAUAGUGAACCAGUACCGUGAGGGAAAGGUGAAAAGAACCCCGGGAGGGGAGUGAAAGAGAACCUGAAACCAUAUGCCUACAAGAAGUCAGAGCCCGUUAAAGGGUGAUGGCGUGCCUUUUGUAGAAUGAACCGGCGAGUUACUGUAUGGAGCGAGGUUAAGCAGGAUAUGCGGAGCCGAAGCGAAAGCGAGUCUUAAGAGGGCGCGAGUUGCAUGCAGUAGACCCGAAACCGGGUGAUCUAGCCAUGACCAGGUUGAAGUUGGGGUAAAACCCGAUGGAGGACCGAACCGACCCCCUUUGAAACGUUGGCGGAUGAGUUGUGGCUAGGGGUGAAAUUCCAAUCGAACCCGGAGAUAGCUGGUUCUCCCCGAAAUAGCUUUAGGGCUAGCGUCGAGAGAAGAGUUGCGUGAAGGUAGAGCACUGAAUAUGUGAUGGCCCCAUCUCGGGGUACUGAGCAUAAUCAAACUGCGAAUGUCACGCCAACAUGCUCGGCAGUCAGACAGCGGGUGAUAAGGUCCGUUGUCAAGAGGGAAACAGCCCAGACCAUCAGCUAAGGUCCCAAAAUGUAUGCUAAGUGGAAAAGGAUGUGGAGAUGUACAGACAACUAGGAGGUUGGCUCAGAAGCAGCCAUCCUUUAAAGAGUGCGUAACAGCUCACUAGUCGAAUGACUCUGCGCCGAUAAUUUACCGGGGCUAAGCAUACUACCGAAGCUAUGGAUCCCAAGGGAUGGUAGGGGAGCGUUCCAUGAACGGAGAAGUACGACCGAAAGGACGUGUGGAGAUCAUGGAAGAGAGAAUGCCGGUGUGAGUAGCGGAACGUGGGUGAGAAUCCCACGCACCGAAAACCCAAGGUUUCCAGAGGAAGGUUCGUCCGCUCUGGGUAAGUCGGGACCUAAGGCGAGGCCGAAAGGCGUAGUCGAUGGACAACAGGUAGAGAUUCCUGUACCCGUAUAUAUGUGAAGGAAUGACGGAGAGAGGAAGCUGCAGCCAGCGGCUGGAAGAGCUGGUGCAAGCGAGAUAUCGGGAUGGCAGGCAAAUCCACCAUCCGAAACGAGAAGGCGUGAAGCGUACGGAAAGCUACGGCGAGUACGGAAGGCAGUGGAGGAACUUCCAAGAAAAGUUUCUAACGUUAAGUAUAUAUGGCCCGUACCGAAAAUGGACACACAUGGGUGAGGAGAGAAUCCUAAGGUGAGCGAGAGAACUAUAGCUAAGGAACUCUGCAAAAUGACUCCGUAACUUAGGGAGAAGGAGUGCUCAUAGAGAUAUGAGCCGCAGUGAAACGGCCCAAGCGACUGUUUACCAAAAACACAGCUCUCUGCUAAGCCGCAAGGCGAAGUAUAGGGGGUGACGCCUGCCCGGUGCUGGAAGGUUAAGGGGAGGGGUUAACGCAAGUGAAGCCCUGAACUGAAGCCCCAGUAAACGGCGGCCGUAACAAUAACGGUCCUAAGGUAGCGAAAUUCCUUGUCAGGUAAGUUCUGACCCGCACGAAAGGCGUAACGAUUUGGGCGCUGUCUCAGCUGUAGACUCGGUGAAGUCUUAGUACCUGUGAAGAUGCAGGUUACCCGCGACUAGACGGAAAGACCCCAUGGAGCUUCACUGCAGGUUGAUAUUGGGAUUUGAUGCAGCAUGUACAGGAUAGGUAGGAGGCAAAGAGAUGGAUACGCCAGUAUUCAAGGAGCCGCUGUUGGGAUACUACCCCUGUUGUAUUGGAUUUCUAACCGGACGACGUAGAGCCGUUGACGGGACAGUGUCAGUCGGGCAGUUUGACUGGGGCGGUCGCCUCCCAAAGAGUAACGGAGGCGCCCAAAGAUACCCUCAGCUUGGAUGGAAACCAAGCGCAGAGUGCAAAGGCAAAAGGGUGUUUGACUGCGAGACCUACAAGUCGAGCAGGGACGAAAGUCGGGCUUAGUGAUCCGG
rnacentral:rRNA from 1 species